AUCAAAAGAAAUCCAAAUCAAAAUCAAAAUGCAUCGGAAUAAAAAAGUAAAAUAAUAAAAAUAAUAAUUUAUUUGGUUCAUAAGAGAAUUCGGAAUCAGAAUAUUCCAAACUGAAAGUAAAAAAAUUGUAUUUUAUUAUAAUUUAAAUUUGUUAUUUCAAUGCUUAAUCAAAAUUUGAAUCUAAAUUUAAACUUAUAAUUUGAAGAUAAAAUUUUGAAUUUAUAAUUAAAAUU
rnacentral:lncRNA from 1 species